UAGGCUAUUCACAGAUGUAUGGGAAAAGAGCUCUGUGAGGCACAGAUUUGAGAAGAACUAUGUGGUUCCAUUCUCCAGGAAAUCAAGUUGUUGGCAGAUUUCCCAUUUCCCUUCAAGAACAUCCCAGGAUAAACCAGCUAACAGAUGAAACUGGUGGAGAGAGGACAAAAAAAAUGUGUUUCUGCUUUUAGCUAUGGUCUUUUGAGUGGCUCUGCUUUCUGACUUGAAGCACUGCUGAUUGCAAGAGCAGGAGGGAGGGAAAUGUGCAAAAUGAAAUGGAUUGACAAAGCAGGAUGAAUUAAAGCAAGGAUCACAGACAUGGGGGAGUGCUAGAGGGCAACACAAAGGACAUCGCAAAAUACUCCCUGCAUCAGUUGGUCCAGACAUUCCUGCAGGAUAAAGAGUGAACAAUAAAAGUUUGAAUUAUCCACAACAAUGCAAUUGGAGUGUGAGUCUGGAUGCCUGGAAUACAAAACAGUAAAGCCAGAAGCAAAAGAAAACUUCUUGGUUUUGGGACUGAUAGGAACAAUUACAUGUGGAGAUGAAUCUGUUCACUCCAGGUCAUUCCAAUAAGAUACUGAGUGUCCAAGUCAUUACAAUGAAAUGUAAAUUGACUUCAGCUUUUUCAUUACAUUAAUUGUUGUAGCACCUUGCUACUGAUAAACUUCCUCGUACUCUCCUGCAGAGAGAUGGAAACACUUGCAAGAGCAGAGCACACAAUGAGCCCAGUUUAAGGCAACAUCUGGAAAAUGUUUAUUUCAUAAGUUAUUUCUGCUGCUAAUUAAACAAGUUAACCUAAAACCAGAAGCUUGCAGAAUAUUAGUGUGCUAAUGAGUCCUGGGGAAGGGCAACAGCACCACACUUGUGACAUGAAGCAAAUGUAAGAUAAUAAGGGACUGCCAAGAGAAAUGAAGCUUCAAAAAUUAGUCAUGAAAGAGUCUUUAAACUUAUACCAGAGAGUCAUAGAAGAGAAGAAAAAAAAAUCUGAAUUUUGGAAGAAAAUGGAAGAGAAGACCAAUUACUGCUUGAAGAAAAAGGAAGGAGAGAAAUUGUUUGGAGUGAGGUUCAGGCAAACAAAUUUAGCAGCAGACUCAAAUAGACUGGCAUCUCAGGAGAAGAGUGGUCCGUCUCCAUGACACCUUGAAAUAUUCAGUUACCAUAGUACCCACAAUUUUAUAAGGAUGGUCAUUCCAAACAGUUUAGCAAGUGAUUGAAGGAACUAAUCCAGAGUGUGUUUAAAUGUCUCAGUGUCCUAUUGUUCCAGGUAACAGCAAGUUUUUACAUGAUAACAAGGGCUUUGUUUAAAUUCUUGGUCUGUUGCUGUUUCUAUCCAUUUCCAUUUGUAGCAUCUUGCAUGGAAAAAAAUAAAAGAAUUGACUACAAGAUGAAAAAAGACAAGCAAUAAGUCCUUUUUGAGGCUUUUUGUAAGUACAUUUUUUAUAGCACAUGAGCCCAUAAAACCAAAAUAAUUCUUUGUUUUUCUGUUAAAUUCUGCCAAAAUAUUUCAAAGGUUCUGUCUGACUAAUCGUUUAAAGACAGCUCUGAGCAAACUGAGUGCAUCUCUCAGACAAUUAGGGGCUAUAUAUAUUUUCAAAGCUUCCUAUCCUAUUUGGAGCUAUUAAUUUUCAAAUCCAAUAAGAAGUAUUUACUUAAUUCAUUGUUAUCUGCUUUAUACUUUUUUGCUUCAAUCCCUAGAGUAAUAUCUUGCAAAAGGACAAACCAUUUGAUGCAGAAGAUUAUGGGAUAUCCUUCAGAGAGAUGAUUACAAGUAGAGAACUGUAUGACUUCACAAAGUGGGAUCCUGCAGAUUUGCAGAAAAAGGGCAAAGAAUAGGAAGAAAGAUUCAAUAAAAUAUUCUGAAUGGUUGAAAGUGUUAUUGGAAGUAGUGAAGUAGUCACUUGGCAUCCAUACUUAAGAAGCAUGAUGAAAGAUUAAAGUCGUUGGAGAAAAUGCACUGAUAGAUAGUAUACUGGCUUAAAGAAAAUCUUUACAGUAAAAGUUAUAAAAAGCUUUAUAUUUUUACAUUAUCAAAGAGAAAGUAAAAUAAAGUCUCAAAUGUUUUAAAUUAGUAACUCUACAGAUAUCUCAACAAUGGGUAAAAAAUUUAAGAGAUGCUAUCUGGAGAAAAUUAAACUGAGUUGGUGGAAAUUUAACUGAGAGAGAUUCAAAUUUUAUGGCAAGAUACCUAUUUUUGAUCAUGCAGGUUGGUAAUUGUUGCAACAUCUGCCAAAGGAAAUUUCAAAUUCUUUACCUUUUGAUAGCUCCAAGUUAAUGUGGAUGUAAUUUUUUGGCAUUGUGUUUUGCCUCACAGAAGUUAAAGGGGUCAGCUUCUAUACCAUCUGAAGAAUGAGAUUGUAAAUGUGCUACUGCACUUUCAAUUUCUGUUAAAUAUUAAAGGCCUUGAAUUAGAUUGUGGAGUCCUGUCAUAUCUAUGGACAUUAUUACUGCCCUUGGUCUUACAAAAGCUUACACAAUUCCUUUAUUUUAUAUGUUUUGCAAUUAAUUAAUGUACUCACAAUAUAGCAGAGAUUAAGAGACACUCAUGGAAUGUCUCAAACAAUGGUUACAUGAACUAAUGACCAAUUUACUUUUCUUAGUUUAGUGCUGGAAAAGUAAGGCUGGAGUUUUCAGCCUAGUGAUCUCUGAAGGGAAAGAGCUGGGGCUGCAUCACAAAGUUAGUUGCAAAUGUUUGUUAAACUAAGCUGGUAAGAGUGAAAUUGAGUCAAGCUUUACUGAGAGUUUAGACGAGUGCUCAUUUCCACAUAAUAUCAAAGAUAUCUGAUUUCCUCUCAUGUUAACAUGCACAGAAAAAGUCAAUGCCAACAUUUUUUCUGAUGCUGCCUUGCAAAAACUACAAGCCGUAUUUUUUAAUUGUUUUUUUCAAUUCUGCCAAAGCAUCUAUCAAGUUAGGAGAAAAUUUGCUUUGCUGCACAAGUUAAAAUUUCACUUCAGUGUUUAAAUACACUGUUUUAGUCUAAUUUAACCAAUGAAUAUAUUAAUAAUUUGUGUUUAAAAGACAAAAAAGACAAGAAAAUACUGUAACUUACAACAAUAACUUUUGGUUUAAACAUUAUAGAAAUAGUAAAGGGCUUUAUUAUUCAAGGAUGGGGUGCUGAGCUCUGCAACUAAGUAUUCAGCUUCUGCUUGGAUAGAUUGAAGGGCACAUUAACAAAGACAAUUUGUACUGGCAAGUGUAAGUUUAAUUUCAUUCUAUUUUAAAGCAAAAUAAUUUUAUAUAAGCUCAUAGUAUUAUACCAUCCAUGCAUAAAACUUAGAGAACUAAUUAUGCAGAAAGUUCAAUUCCUAUUUUAGAGCUCUUGGACUGUCUAACCUAAACUAUGCUUCUUGCAUGCAACAAAGUCCUGAUCAAGCAUGUACAAAUGUAUUGGUAUGCCUCUUACACAUGAGAAAUAUAAAAUGUGUUCUUUUUGUUAUAAACUAUUCAAAACCUAAUUCAAAUAUUACACAGAAAAUAAAACAGGCUUUCUCAUUUGCAAUUACUGGGUAUGAAAAUAGAGAAAAGUGACCAAAAAAUUAUUUCAGUCGACCUCAAAUUGUCAAAAUCAUAAACACAAUUGAAAUAGAAAAUCAAGACACACAUUCAGAAUUUCAGAGUACCUGGCAGUUGAGUCAAGUCUGUAUCUGGCUUUUGGGACAGAUGAAACAAACUUAUGGGCUUUCUCAUGUUUUUCCAAGUAAAAAUAGUUCCUUAAGGGAUACUCUCUCAAACUGGAAUUUCAGCAACACAGGAACUCUUAAGCACACAAAUGGACUCCUUAUAAAAACCCAUACUAAACCUGCUCUUAAUGGCUAAGGCAAGUUGUCAGGUGUGUACUGCUGGCCUGUGAGGGUUUCCUCACAUAUUGGGAGUACCCAGUUGUCUGUUCUGGAAAGCAAAUAUAGCAUGCAUGAUGCAUGCACAGCCAGAGCCAGGAACUUAAGUCUGUUCUUUACACUAUGAGCAUCUAGUGUGUUAAAGUGCCUUGAAAUUAUAGCAAUCUUAGAACCCCUUUGUCCUCGUACAACGAAACACAAAAAAAACAUGACCAUUAUUCCAGAAGCCUAAAUUUAAUAGAUUCCAGUUUCUCUUUAUGAGGGGUUUUCAGACCUGAUAAUUUCACAGACAUCAGCGAGUUUGACUGCUAACUACCUGAAAGAGGAGUGAGUGACUAGUGGUAUAAGCUGGAUAGCAAUUAGAGAGGGCUGGCAGAUGGCAGCUGAGCACAGGACUGGCAGUAGAAAACCACAGAGCAGACAGCAGUGCUUACAGUGAUGACAGAUUGCCUGACUGGAAGAAAAGCUUGAAUUCUCUUGUGUUAUUUUCCCCAGUGUUUUAAUGGUGGACACAGAAGUUCACAUUUAGCUUUACAUCCAUCUUUUGGAAAGAUAAUCUAAACUGAACAUUAAACAUACAGUAUCUUUAUAUACCCUUUUCUGUUGUCACAAAGCCCCUUUAUCCUAUGACUGUGGUUAUUAACAAAGUUCUACAAUGUCUCAAAGACAAGUUCUACCACUGUGGUACUUUUAAAAAUAAUAAGCCAAUUAAAAUACACAAAAGAAAAUAGUACAUAAACUUACAUAUUCUCAAAAAGUGCAAUUCAUUAAAAAAUCAUAUUUUUUUCACCAUUUGACUUCUUAAUCCAGAUAAUCUUAAAUCAGACCUCGGCUCCAUUCUUCCCAGUUCUUUGAAAUGUACAUUUAUCCCUAGUGUCACUUGUAUAGACUGAAAAAAGAGACUCCAAACCUUCUCAUAGUUAGAUCACCUUUGUCCAGUGGACUUUAUUAGCAUUACAGCACUUUUCAGUGUUUCCCAUUUGAAAAGGAAAAUGUUAGUUGCACUGUUAACCAUCCUUCUAUUUAUUUUAAAAUAAAUCAAUUCAUGCUCUCUCUAAUCUUAUUCAUUCUUGAGUGAUGAAAGUCUCAAAAUGACCUUUGCUGUUUCAAAAAUCAAGUGAAAAAUAGCAGCAGCUAGGAUAGUUCAAUGAAUAUUGGACUAAGAGUCUGACAGUGCCAUCACAUUUGAUUUGCCUUUAUCAGAAUUCAGGGGCUAUCAGAAAUUCUUUAGCACUCCUCUCAGAAAAAUAGUUUUACAUUCCACAUUCAGGUCCAUUUUCACACUCCAAAAUUUUAAAUGUUAAAUCUCUUAUUUUAUUAUUUUUUUUUAGUUCUCAAUUCUAUGGAAUAGCUAAUUUACAAAAACUUUUCUAACAAUGUUCUUGUCAAACUUGUAGAUAGUACAAGUCAUGAUUGCUGCUUUAACUUAUUAUGCUCUCUCCUUCCUAUAAUAUAUUAUUUUCCCUGUGAUCCUGCUAGGUUUUGUAUCACCUUGAUGCUAAAGAUCCUUGAAUUAGAAUACAAAUGUGUCAUUUGUUUCUCUUUGACUUUCUUAAAUACCUUGCCAGUUGGAAACAGAUUUUCACUAAUUAUAUUGCCCUAGCAGAUGCUACUGCCAUCAAUAUUGCAAACCUUUCCUGUCCAUUCUGCCCAUUUAUGCCACUUUACCCCAUGCUAUGUCUUUCCUAAAUGGACACAUCCUUCCCUAUAAAAUAAAUUGUGAAAACAAGAAAAAAUAAUAUUUUAAAAUUUCUGAUUGAUAGCUACUGAG